UUUUUCUUUUUUUUUUUUUUUUUGAGAUAGAGUCUCAUCCUAUUGCCCAGGCAGUGCAGUUGCUGAGUGCAGUGGCUCAAUCUCAGCUCACUAUAACCUCUGCUGCCCAGGUUAAAGUGAUUCUUGUAUCUCAGCCUCCUGAGUAGCCGGGAUUACAGUCAUGCACCACCACAUGCAAAACAAACAAACAAACAAACAAACAAAAACCACCAAUUUUUCUUGUAUUUUUAGUAGAGACAGGGUUUCACCAUGUUGGCUAGGCUGGUCUCGAACUGCUGACCUGAAGUGAUCUGCCCACCUCAACCUCCCAAAGUGCUGGGAUUAUAGGCAUGAGCCACUGCUCCUGGCUUCCUCCUAUAUCUCUUGAUCAAACUUCAGGGGAAAACCUGCCAGAUUCCCCAGGAAGGCUGCUUGGAGGUAGGUGGCGGGGUACAGGGAGGCCUGUGCCAACUUCUCAUUGAACACCAAUUCCAGCUUUCCUACCCCCAUUUCUCUUCACAGGUGUGCUGAGAGAAGUCUACAUUCCCAUGUCAAGUAAGUAGGGUGGGUAGAUGGGAGGACAUAUGAGAGUGGGGCAGCAAUUUUAUGUCUGAGUUGGAAGGAAAUUUAGAGUUCAUUUAGUCCAAAUCCUCUUUACUGGGUGAGGAAACUGAGGCACAGGAGGGGGAGGUGCCAUUAGCCAGGGAGUCAGAGCCAGGACUUAGAACCUGGUCCGCACCUCCUAGUUUGUUCCUAACCAAUCCUCCCCACUCCUCUUGCUCUCACCUCUGACUCCCUAUAGGCUACAACUAGAGUUGACUCCUCUAUUUGAUGUAAGAGUGUCUGGAUUUGGGAUAAGGUGACCUCAGUUUGCAGGUCUCAUGGUGGAGAUCAGAGGUUCCAUCGUUGAGAAGAGGGGACUUGGUCCACAGUGAGCAAAGGAAUCUGUCUAAAUUACUAUUAAGAGAGAUCAUCUCCCAUGGUGGGCCAAGCCUGAACCCUCAGCCCUCCAUUUCUUCCCUUUCUUUUGCCUUCAGAUUGACAGGCCUAAGAAGUCAAAAUAAGUGGUUUCCUAGACCUGGUCGAGAGCAAGUCUCUAUUGGUCCCAACUGAGUUUUUUCAGCUGUUUUUUCAACCAAACAGCACCCCAUCUUCCAGUGAGGGGAAGGGAAGACUGGGCUGACAGCAGCAAGGCUGCUCAUCUCACCUCUCCCCAUCCAGCCAUGCCAGCCGCCACACCUGGUGGGGAGAGGUGGGCCUCACCUGGGUCCCCUGGCAGUGCUCUGUGAAGAGUCUUGACAUUGUACUGUCAUAAUAAAGGUGUAUGUGAAGUAUCUUUUUAUGGUGACUUUCUAAGACCCAGGGAAUCAUGGGACCAGUACUGAUGACUCAGCCUGGUUUCCAGUCUCCUCCAGGCCCAACGGUGGUCCCCAGCACUGGUCCGGUCCCCAGCACUGGUCCGGGCCUGGGAGAGCUGACCUUGGCUGAAGUGAAGCCACCUACCCUUCAGGCAUAACGGGACGGUGAGACGGAAGGAAAGCAUGCCUCAACCUCCCAUCAACCCUGAGCACCCCAGGAGGGGGCCGGCUAGAACUCUAGGCAUGCAGGAUGCUGACCCCUGACCUGGCUCAUAUCCAGCCACAAGGCAGCCAGGGACCCAGGCACCCACCCCUUGUCUGCAUCCCUCUCGGGAAUGGGCCUCUUGCCCAAGCCAGAAAUACACCACCCACAGUACAAAUUGUAAUCUAAAAACAAGAGGGUGGUGUUGAGUGGGGAAAUUGUGGAAGGUGUUUUAGGAACCACUAGGAAAAUGGGCAGCAGGGACUCUCUGGACUGGCUUGGGGAGAGCGCUUUUGGGGAACCUGUAGGAUGGCAAGCUGAGAAACACUGGUGUGGAGAUUCCAGCCAAAUCCCAGGCCUGCCCCUCCCCCUCCUCUGGGAGGCCGUCUUCUUGGCAGACAGCAGAGAGAUGCAUGACAAAGGUGCCGUGAUGGUUCU
ensembl:lncRNA